UGGGUUAAGUCCCGCAACGAGCGCAACCCCUAUCCCCAGUAGCCUGCAUUUAAGAUGGGCACUCUAAGGAGACUGCCAGGGAUAACCUGGAGGAAGGCGGGGAUGACGUCAAAUCAUCAUGCCCCUUAUGAUUUGGGCUACACACGUGCUACAAUGGCGUAAACAAAGGGAAGC
rnacentral:rRNA from 1 species